rnacentral:rRNA from 1 species
UACAGAGGUCUCGAGCGUUAGGCGGAAUCACUGGGCUUAAAGCGUGUGUAGGCGGAUCGUUAAGUACCUUUGUGAAAUCCCACGGCUUAACCGUGGAACUGCUUGGUAUACUGGCGGUCUUGAGCCAGCUAGGGGCUACCGGAACAAAUGGUGGAGCGGUGAAAUGCGCAGAUAUCAGGAGGAAACACCGGUGGCGAAAGGGC